AAAGAAGAAAAAUUUGUUCUGAAAUAUUGUCCAGAGCAGAUUUAAAGAAGAAAACAAA
rfam:Carnobacterium inhibens subsp. gilichinskyi strain WN1359, complete genome.